rnacentral:rRNA from 1 species
GACGAACGCUGGCGGCGUGCCUAAUACAUGCAAGUCGAGCGAAGUUUUUCUGGUGCUUGCACUAGAAAAACUUAGCGGCGAACGGGUGAGUAACACGUAAAGAACCUGCCUCAUAGACUGGGACAACUAUUGGAAACGAUAGCUAAUACCGGAUAACAGCAUUAACUGCAUGGUUGAUGUUUGAAAGUUGGUUUUGCUAACACUAUGAGAUGGCUUUGCGGUGCAUUAGCUAGUUGGUGGGGUAAAGGCCUACCAAGGCGACGAUGCAUAGCCGACCUGAGAGGGUGAUCGGCCACACUGGGACUGAGACACGGCCCAAACUCCUACGGGAGGCAGCAGUAGGGAAUCUUCCGCAAUGGGCGAAAGCCUGACGGAGCAACGCCGCGUGAGUGAAGAAGGAUUUCGGUUCGUAAAGCUCUGUUGUUAGGGAAAAAUAAUUGUGUAGUAACUAUACACAGUGGAGACGGGCCCUAACCAAAAAGGCCCGGCUAACCCCCUGCCAGCGCCGCGGUAAACGUUGUGGAAGCUUUUUUCCGGGAUAAAGGCGUAAGCGGGGGGGGG